rnacentral:tRNA from 1 species
CGGUGAUUAGACAAGCAGUAAGUCAUCUGCACCAGGAGCAGAAAUUCAGAGGUCAUAGCCCUCUAUCACCGACCA